rnacentral:lncRNA from 1 species
CCCUGUCUUUGUUUGGUUUUAGUUAACCUCUUUCGUUUUUUGAGUUUCUUUUUGUAAAUAUGUAUUUUCUGUAUGGAGCUGGGUUAGCCGUUCCAUAGGGGUCAGGAUGGAGUUGGCCCUGGAUCUGUAAUUAUUAUUCAACAUGUCUACACCUGGGAUUCGAACGCUCAACCUCUUGGUUGACGGCAUUCCGAUCUUCCUGCCACGCCACCAUGUCUUUGUCAUCGUCUGAUUUCACCUGUAUUCCUACACUUAUAUUUCUCAUGGUGAUUCAGGAGUAACAUUAAAACAGAAUUGUACAGUAGACAACUAUACAGAAAAACCCAAGUAUUGCACCAUGCGUUGGGUUCAAACUGUUACGGCUUGGUCUGCGCCCCGCUCCAUAACAAAUGAAUUUUUUAUAUUAUCAGCUGUUACUACUGAUCCUCAGGAACAACUACAUGGCCGUGACAGAGUUUACAGAUGAAGCAAAUGGAGCUACACACAGGACCUUUACAGACCUGGUGUUGUUCUACUCAUAUCUGCUGUCCUGCGCCUGACUCUCUACACCAGCUACACACAGGACCCUUACAGACCUGGUGUUGU